AGGGCGCUUCUGCUUUGAACCCAAGUCCAUGUGUUUGUAAGUUCGUGAUCUUGACCACCUGAAGUCAAGUUCCUGAUCUUGGUCUUAGUGCCCAGUGCUCUAGUCUAGCAGCAGUCGCUCCCCCUCCACACACACACACUCAUUCCCUUCCUCACUCACUGUUUGCAUAUGUGACGUGCACUCAGACCUUUAGUUGCUCAGGCACAUAAGACAGGCUGUGGGUUAGGUGCCAAAGACAUGUGCUAGAUAUUUCGGUGCUGCAAUGUAGGUGUAGGUAAAGC
rnacentral:lncRNA from 1 species